rnacentral:rRNA from 1 species
UACAGAGGGGGCAAGCGUUGUUCGGAAUUACUGGGCGUAAAGGGCGCGUAGGCGGCCGCCUAAGUCAGACGUGAAAUCCCUCGGGCUCAACCGGGGAACUGCGUCUGGAUACUGGGUGGCUUGGAAUUCGGGAGAGGGAUGCGGAAUUCCAGGUGUAGAGGUGAAAUUCGUAGAUAUCGAGAGGAACACCGGUGGCGAAGGCGGCCAACUGGACGAAUACAUGACGCUGGAGACGCGAAAGCCGUGGGGAGCGAACAGG